GAGCUGCAUUUCCGCCGGCGCGGUCCGGGUAUAGCAGUUUCCUGCGGCAGUGGCUGCUUCCCAAAUAGUCCUGAACGAUUCCGAGGCGUGCCGCACCGUCUCGCGCCGUCCCCUCUGACCCUGCCGGUGACAGGCCCGGCUCCCCGGGUGAGUCGCUCCGGGGCCGCGAUGCACAGGAAACCCCUCCGCGGCCUCCCAAGGCCGGUGCAUCAUCCCCCCCCCCCCCCCGACAGGAGGAGAAACUGAGGCCCGAGGGGACGGGGAGAGCCGGCGGAGGUCAGCCCCGAUUUCAGGCCCCGCUCCUGGGUCCGGGCCCAGCCCCUCCGCCGGCUGCGGACCUCUCGGGAUGCGUGUCCCCGAGAAUGGGACUCCUGGUCUGAUCCCCCGCGCGCGGGGAAGACUCGUGUCCCGCCAACUACCAGAAGCGGGUCCGGCGACGUGCGGGCCGUGUGCCGCCGCCAGUGGUGCGGAGCCCCGUGUGGCCCCGGGCCUGAAGAGCUCCCGGGGCCGCGUGAUUUUCACGCACACACCCACCUCCGGCUCUGGGCCUCGAAUCCCCCAAAGCGCUUCAUCGGUUGCCCACGAAGUGACCAUGUGAGCGUUAGCCCGUUUUCUUGUCAACAAACAGCCUUUAAGAGAAAGCGUUAAAACCCCCGUUGUGCAGAGCGGUUGUGCGUUGCGGGCUCUGGGGCUCUGUUGGAAGCAGAUGGAAAGUCUCCGUUGGACGGCUUUGGGGGCUGUGCGUCAGGCAGCGCCCCCUUCUUUGCUGCAGGACCCUGAGCCGCAGCGCCGGAUGUGCCCCCGCGGUGUCCGGGGGGUGAGGCCUGGAUGAGCCCACUGUGUGGAGAGACAUCAUGGGAGUUCUAUCAGGAACAUUCUAGACCCCAGUGUCCUUGAGGGAUGCUGCCUCGGAUCUAGAGAUUGUUGGAAGAAUCCUUAAGGAGAUGGAGCAUUGGUCCUCUCAGGAUGACCUGGGUCCCAGCUGCCCUGGAGGGACCUCUUCAUGAUUAUUUCGGAGUUGAUCAUGGACACUGGCAGAGUGAAGAAUGAUGUCGCCACGUGAACCAUGGCCAGACCUUCUUAUCCUGUUGCCUCAGCACAGCCUGGAGGGACUUUUCUCUCUGCGUGAGCAGGCCAGAGGGAAAGUCCUGGGACCCUGGAGACUUGAGGUCCAGAGCUAGAGACUUCAGCUGGCUCUGCCGCUCCCCCAGCAGGUGUCACACAGCACCUGGGACCAGGAAGACUGGUUCCCUUCCACCUGAGCCAGGUGUCCAGCAGGCUCCACGUGCCCCUGCCUAUUCCUCCUGUAACUUUUUACAACCAAGAGUUUUCUGCACUGUGCAUCCUUGUCCUCUCACCCACCCAAUAAAUCUUGAAACUGCC